AGCAAACAGGCUUAGAUACCCUGGUAGUCCACCCCGUAAACGUUGGGAACUAGAUGUGGGGACCAUUCCACGGUCUCCGUGUCGCAGCUAACGCAUUAAGUUCCCCGCCUGGGGAGUACGGCCGCAAGGCUAAAACUCAAAGGAAUUGACGGGGGCCCGCACAAGCGGCGGAGCAUGCGGAUUAAUUCGAUGCAACGCGAAGAACCUUACCAAGGCUUGACAUAUACCGGAAACGGCGAGAGAUCGUCGCCCCGCAAGGUCGGUAUACAGGUGGUGCAUGGUUGUCGUCAGCUCGUGUCGUGAGAUGUUGGGUUAAGUCCCGCAACGAGCGCAACCCUCGUUCUAUGUUGCCAGCACGUAAUGGUGGGAACUCAUGGGAUACUGCCGGGGUCAACUCGGAGGAAGGUGGGGACGACGUCAAAUCAUCAUGCCCCUUAUGUCUUGGGCUUCACGCAUGCUACAAUGGCCAGUACAAAGGGCUGCAAUACCGUAAGGUGGAGCGAAUCCCAAAAAGCUGGUCCCAGUUCGGAUUGAGGUCUGCAACUCGACCUCAUGAAGUCGGAGUCGCUAGUAAUCGCAGAUCAGCAACGCUGCGGUGAAUACGUUCCCGGGCCUUGUACACACCGCCCGUCAAGUCAUGAAAGUCGGUAACACCCGACG
rnacentral:rRNA from 1 species